UACGGAGGGAGCUAGCGUUGUUCGGAAUUACUGGGCGUAAGGCGCGCGUAGGCGGCUUUGUAAGUUAGAGGUGAAAGCCCGGGGCUCAACCCCGGAAUUGCCUUUAAGACUGCAUCGCUAGAAUCCGGGAGAGGUGAGUGGAAUUCCGAGUGUAGAGGUGAAAUUCGUAGAUAUUCGGAAGAACACCAGUGGCGAAGGCGGCUCA
rnacentral:rRNA from 1 species